AACCUGCCUGUAAGACUGGGAUAACUCCGGGAAACCGGGGCUAAUACCGGAUGCUUGAUUGAACCGCAUGGUUCAAUCCUAAAAGGUGGCUUUUCCCUACCACUUACAGAUGGACCCGCGGCACAAUAACUAGUUGGUGAGGUAACGGCUCACCAAGGGGACGAUGCGUAGCCGACCUGAGAGGGUGAUCGGCCACACUGGCACUGACACACCGCCCAUACUCCUACGGGAGGCAGCAGUAGGGAAUCUUCCGCAAUGGACGAAAGUCUGACGGAGCAACGCCGCGUGAGUGAUGAAGGUUUUCAGAUCGAAAACUCUGUUGUUAGGGAAGAACAAGUACCGUUCGAAUAGGGCGGUACCUUGACGGUACCUAACCAGAAAGCCACGGCUAACUACGUGCCAGCAGCCGCGGUAAUACGUAGGUGGCAAGCGUUGUCCGGAAUUAUUGGGCGUAAAGCGCGCGCAGGCGGUUUCUUAAGUCUGAUGUGAAAGCCCCCGGCUCAACCGGGGAGGGUCAUUGGAAACUGGGGAACUUGAGUGCAGAAGAGGAGAGUGGAAUUCCACGUGUAGCGGUGAAAUGCGUAGAGAUGUGGAGGAACACCAGUGGCGAAGGCGACUCUCUGGUCUGUAACUGACGCUGAGGCGCGAAAGCGUGGGGAGCGAACAGGAUUAGAUACCCUGGUAGUCCACGCCGUAAACGAUGAGUGCUAAGUGUUAGAGGGUUUCCGCCCUUUAGUGCUGCAGCAAACGCAUUAAGCACUCCGCCUGGGGAGUACGGUCGCAAGACUGAAACUCAAAGGAAUUGACGGGGGCCCGCACAAGCGGUGGAGCAUGUGGUUUAAUUCGAAGCAACGCGAAGAACCUUACCAGGUCUUGACAUCCUCUGACAACCCUAGAGAUAGGGCUUCCCCUUCGGGGGCAGAGUGACAGGUGGUGCAUGGUUGUCGUCAGCUCGUGUCGUGAGAUGUUGGGUUAAGUCCCGCAACGAGCGCAACCCUUGAUCUUAGUUGCCAGCAUUCAGUUGGGCACUCUAAGGUGACUGCCGGUGACAAACCGGAGGAAGGUGGGGAUGACGUCAAAUCAUCAUGCCCCUUAUGACCUGGGCUACACACGUGCUACAAUGGGCAGAACAAAGGGCAGCGAAGCCGCGAGGCUAAGCCAAUCCCACAAAUCUGUUCUCAGUUCGGAUCGCAGUCUGCAACUCGACUGCGUGAAGCUGGAAUCGCUAGUAAUCGCGGAUCAGCAUGCCGCGGUGAAUACGUU
rnacentral:rRNA from 1 species